rfam:Nasonia vitripennis chromosome 4, whole genome shotgun sequence.
GUUGGCUACGGCGACAUUUACCCCACUACGGCGUUGGGCAAGGUCAUCGGUAGUGUGUGUUGUAUAUGUGGUGUCCUGGUAAUCGCGUUACCCAUUCCCAUUAUCGUCAAUAAU